rnacentral:rRNA from 1 species
CCGGUUGAUCCCUGCCGGACCCGACCGCUAUCGGGGUAGGGCUAAGCCAUGGGAGUCGAACGCCCCGCCGCUGCGGGGCGUGGCGGACGGCUGAGUAACGCGUGGCUAACCUACCCUCGGGACGGGGAUAACUCCGGGAAACUGGAGCUAAUCCCCGAUAGGCGGGGAGGCCUGGAAGGGUUCCCCGCCGAAAGGCGCCGCUGGGGGUUAUCGCCAGCGGUGCGCCCGAGGAUGGGGCUGCGUCCCAUCAUGGUAGUUGGCGGGGUAAUGGCCCGCCAAGCCUACGACGGGUAGGGGCCGUGAGAGCGGGAGCCCCCAGAUGGGCACUGAGACAAGGGCCCAGGCCCUACGGGGCGCACCAGGCGCGAAAACUCCGCAAUGCGGGCAACCGUGACGGGGCUACCCCGAGUGCCCCCCUCGUGGGGGCUUUUCCCCGCUGUAGGUAGGCGGGGGAAUAAGCGGGGGGCAAGACUGGUGUCAGCCGCCGCGGUAAUACCAGCCCCGCGAGUGGUCGGGGUGCUUACUGGGCCAAAAGCGCCCGUAGCCGGCUCGACAAGUCCCCUCCUAAAGCCCCGGGCUCAACCCGGGGACUGGGGGGGAUACUGUCGGGCUAGGGGGCGGGAGAGGCCGAGGGUACUCCCGGGGUAGGGGCGAAAUCCACUAAUCCCGGGAGGACCACCUGUGGCGAAGGCGCUCGGCUGGAACGCGCCCGACGGUGAGGGGCGAAAGCCGGGGGAGCGAACCGGAUUAGAUACCCGGGUAGUCCUGGCUGUAAACGAUGCGGGCUAGGUGUUGGGCGGGCGAGAGGGCCCGCCCAGUGCCGCAGGGAAGCCGUUAAGCCCGCCGCCUGGGGAGUACGGCCGCAAGGCUGAAACUUAAAGGAAUUGGCGGGGGAGCACCACAAGGGGUGGAGCCUGCGGCUUAAUUGGAGUCAACGCCGGGAACCUCCACCGGGGGCGACAGCAGGAUGAUGGCCAGGCUGAAGGCCUUGCUUGACGCGCUGAGGGGAGGUGCAUGGCCGUCGCCAGCUCGUACCGUGAGGUGUCCUGUUAAGUCAGGCAACGAGCGAGACC